rnacentral:rRNA from 1 species
UACGUAGGGUGCGAGCGUUAAUCGGAAUUACUGGGCGUAAAGCGUGCGCAGGCGGUUCGUUAAGACAGAUGUGAAAUCCCCGGGCUUAACCUGGGAACUGCAUUUGUGACUGGCGAGCUAGAGUAUGGCAGAGGGGGGUAGAAUUCCACGUGUAGCAGUGAAAUGCGUAGAUAUCGGGAGGAACACCAGUGGCGAAGGCGAUCACCUGGGGUUGUUCUGACGCUGAGGAGCGAAAGCUAGGGGAGCAAACGGG